rnacentral:misc_RNA from 1 species
CAAGAACCAGCGGUGUUGGGCAGUUGGGUGCGCAUCAACCAUCCCUGUGGGCGCGCCGAGACAAGGGAGACUUCUUCCCGAAAAUUCUACCCGGCAUGUCGAAAUUUGCUGGCGGCAAUCUGGUGGUGAUGUACAGGUUAUCAAUUGCCGGAGCCGGCUGCGGACAGCUUUUUGGCGCCGUUCGAGCCGAUAUGGCCGUUCCUGGCCGGCAACGCUUCUGAGGUGCAGAUCGGCUCCCAGCGGAUUGCUUCACCGCUGCCGUCGCCGAAAAAAUGAAUUCGGCGAAUACGCUGAUUCCGGUUCAGCGAGUUGAUCGUGUCGUGAAGGCGGCGCUUGGGGUCGAUGGCCGGCUGCAGGGG